CCUACGGGUGGCAGCAGUGAGGAAUAUUGGUCAAUGGACGAGAGUCUGAACCAGCCAAGUAGCGUGAAGGAUGACUGCCCUAUGGGUUGUAAACUUCUUUUAUAUGGGAGUAAAAUGUUCCACGUGUGGGACUUUGUAUGUACCAUAUGAAUAAGGAUCGGCUAACUCCGUGCCAGCAGCCGCGGUAAUACGGAGGAUCCGAGCGUUAUUCGGAUUUAGUGGGUUUAAAGGGAGCGUAGGGGGGUUGUUAAGUCAGGUGUGAAAUGGUGCGGCUCAACCGGAAAAUUGCAGUUGAAACUGGCAGUCUGGAGUGCGGUAGAGGUGGGCGGAAUUCGUGGUGUAGAGGUGAAAUGCUUAGAUAUCACGAAGAACUGCGAUUGCGAAGGCAGCUCACUGGAACGCAACUGACACUGAGGCUCGAAAGUGUGGGUAGCAAACAGGAUUAGAUACCCGUGUAGUC
rnacentral:rRNA from 1 species